UUUGGGGGGGGGCUCCUGUGCCAAUGAGGCGGGAGGAGUUCAGGAGCCCCCUCUCCAAGCCCUCCCACAGCCUGUCAGCAUGCUUCCAAACCCCUAGACACCCCGAGUCUAACAAAGGCCGCUGUGGGAGCCCAGCAGGU